UACGAAGGGGGCUAGCGUUGCUCGGAAUCACUGGGCGUAAAGGGUGCGUAGGCGGGUCUUUAAGUCAGGGGUGAAAUCCUGGAGCUCAACUCCAGAACUGCCUUUGAUACUGAAGAUCUUGAGUUCGGGAGAGGUGAGUGGAACUGCGAGUGUAGAGGUGAAAUCGUAGAUAUUCGCAAGAACACCAGUGGCGAAGGCGGCUCACUGGCCCGAUACUGACGCUGAGAAGCGAAAGCGUGGGGAGCGAACGAGG
rnacentral:rRNA from 1 species